rnacentral:rRNA from 1 species
UACGAGUGCCCCGAGCGUUAUCCGGAAUCAUUGGGCGUAAAGGGUGUGUAGGUGGUUUUGUUAGUCGAUUGUUAAAACCCGGGGCUUAACUCCGGAAUCGCGAUCGAAACGGCAAAACUAGAGGAUGGCAGGGAUGUAUGGAACUCAUGGAGUAGGGGUGAAAUCCGUUGAUAUCAUGGGGAACACCAAAAGCGAAGGCAGUACAUUGGGCCACUCCUGACACUGAAACACGAAAGCGUGGGUAGCGAAUGGG